UACGUAGGCAGCAAGCGUUGUUCGGAGUUACUGGGCGUAAAGGGUGUGUAGGCGGUUAUUUAAGUUUGGUGUGAAAUCUCCCGGCUCAACCGGGAGGGUGCGCCGAAUACUGAAUGACUUGGAGUGCGGGAGAGGAAAGUGGAAUUCCUGGUGUAGCGGUGAAAUGCGUAGAUACUGGGAGGAACACCGGUGGCGAAGGCGGCUACCUGGACCGGUUCUGACGCUGAUGCGCGAAAGCGUGGGUAGCAAACAGG
rnacentral:rRNA from 1 species